UNUCACCCUCCCCAUCGGAAAAUCCCUCACACUUAGCAGCCCUGAACCUCACAAACGAACAAUCCCUCAUCUCAUUUUCUUGAAGUUAACACACGCAAGAGAACUGAAAUCCCAACCAUUUCCAGAUCUCAAACACUCAGCUUCCAUUGCCGGCGAGCUUCGCCGGGAACCGGCGGAAACAAAGCCGAAAAAUACACUAUUCCGUUGCCGGCUUCCGUUUUCUUUUAUUUUCGUCUCAAAAUUGGAGUUCCAUCAAUGUUGUUGUUGCUGUCCGAGUUCUCUGUGGUUAAGCAUUUUCGGAUUGCAAUUGGAAAAAUUAUCUCAGUUGCCGCUCUAUUAGCCGGGUACAAUCUUUUCUAAUCUUCCCUUUGGGGCGCCGUUAUUAUGUAUUUCAUAAGAUCAGCCUUGCCGGUUUUGGAUGUUAUCGCGACUUGCCGUCGUUUUCUUGUCUGUGGCUGUUAAUAUCUGUUAGAUUUUUCUAGCCGUGAGUGAAUGAAGUGGUAUUCAUGUAAAUGAAAAUUUGUUCAUCUCUUUCUUUUGGUUUAUGUAUUUGUGAUUUUUUUCAGAAUUUGUUAGGAAAUGGUGUCAAAUGGGACGUUGUUCUGAUUGAUAGUCUGCCGAUUUGGUUUGGUCACUGUGUAUUGUUUGAAUUUAUUCUAAGACCUCUAAAAUGUUGAGUUGCUUGCUAGUUUGUUUAAGGGGUCGUGUUUGAGAUUAGUAUGAUAAUUUGAUUAUAUUAUGAAUCAUAAUGAGUUAUAGUCAUUGUGAAUGUUCUGUA